CCUACGGGGGGCAGCAGUGGGGAAUAUUGCACAAUGGGGGAAACCCUGAUGCAGCGACGCCGCGUGAGCGAAGAAGGCCUUCGGGUUGUAAAGCUCUGUUGUAAGGGACGAAUGUCGCGAUCAAUAAUACGGAUUGCGAAUGACGGUACCUUACCAGCAAGCCCCGGCUAACUACGUGCCAGCAGCCGCGGUAAGACGUAGGGGGCGAGCGUUGUCCGGAAUUACUGGGCGUAAAGAGCACGUAGGCGGGACCUUAAGUCAGGUGUGAAAGACCGCGGCUCAACCGCGGGGUUGCACCUGAAACUGGGGUUCUUGAGGGCAGGAGAGGAAAGCAGAAUUCCUGGUGUAGCGGUGAAAUGCGUAGAAAUCAGGAGGAAUACCAGUGGCGAAGGCGGCUUUCUGGACGACAACUGACGCUGAGGCGCGAAAGCCAGGGG
rnacentral:rRNA from 1 species